rnacentral:sRNA from 5 species
AUGUACCCACUCGUACACUCCGGUUCCUGCGCGCCGUCUGCACCCACCUGACGACCGCUCGCUACGUUUGUUAGCC